rnacentral:rRNA from 1 species
AAGGACACACCAGAGGUGNAGCCUGCGGUUUAAUUUGACUCAACACGGGGAAACUCACCAGGUCCAGACAUGAGAAGGAUUGACAGUUUGAAAGCACUUUCUUGAUUUCAUGGGUGGUGGUGCAUGGCCGUUCUUAGUUGGUGGAGUGAUUUGUCUGGUUGAUUCCGAUAACGAACGAGACUCUCAGAGUAAACUGGCCCAGGUCGUAAUUCGCGUUACUUCCGGCCUCUUUUCUCGACAAUUCGUUUUAAACGAAAGGAAGCGGAGAGCAAUAACAGGUCUGUGAUGCCCCUCGAUGUUCUGGGCUACACGCGCGCUACAAUGACGAGUUCAACGAGUUAUUUCUCCUUGCCCGGAAGGGUGUGGGUAAUCUUUUCAAUGCUCGUCGUGAUGGGGCUAGAUUUUUGCAAUUAUUAAUCUUCAACGAGGAAUCUCUAGUAUGUGCAGUUCAUCAGACUGCGCAGAAUGCGUCCCUGCCCUUUG